AUUGAUAAGGGAGAUGGCAUGCCUCCCGAAUGCGCCCGUAUUCAAACCAUCACGUCCGUGAUUGAUGAUGCCUGCAGUACG
rnacentral:ncRNA from 2 species